CCCCGGUAAACGGCGGCCGUAACUAUAACGGUCCUAAGGUAGCGAAAUUCCUUGUCGGGUAAGUUCCGACCUGCACGAAUGGCGUAAUGAUGGCCAGGCUGUCUCCACCCGAGACUCAGUGAAAUUGAACUCGCUGUGAAGAUGCAGUGUACCCGCGGCAAGACGGAAAGACCCCGUGAACCUUUACUAUAGCUUGACACUGAACAUUGAGCCUUGAUGUGUAGGAUAGGUGGGAGGCUUUGAAGUGUGGACGCCAGUCUGCAUGGAGCCGACCUUGAAAUACCACCCUUUAAUGUUUGAUGUUCUAACGUGGACCCGUAAUCCGGGUUGCGGACAGUGUCUGGUGGGUAGUUUGACUGGGGCGGUCUCCUCCUAAAGAGUAACGGAGGAGCACGAAGGUUGGCUAAUCCUGGUCGGACAUCAGGAGGUUAGUGCAAUGGCAUAAGCCAGCUUGACUGCGAGCGUGACGGCGCGAGCAGGUGCGAAAGCAGGUCAUAGUGAUCCGGUGGUUCUGAAUGGAAGGGCCAUCGCUCAACGGAUAAAAGGUACUCCGGGGAUAACAGGCUGAUACCGCCCAAGAGUUCAUAUCGACGGCGGUGUUUGGCACCUCGAUGUCGGCUCAUCACAUCCUGGGGCUGAAGUAGGUCCCAAGGGUAUGGCUGUUCGCCAUUUAAAGUGGUACGCGAGCUGGGUUUAGAACGUCGUGAGACAGUUCGGUCCCUAUCUGCCGUGGGCGCUGGAGAACUGAGGGGGGCUGCUCCUAGUACGAGAGGACCGGAGUGGACGCAUCACUGGUGUUCGGGUUGUCAUGCCAAUGGCACUGCCCGGUAGCUAAAUGCGGAAGAGAUAAGUGCUGAAAGCAUCUAAGCACGAAACUUGCCCCGAGAUGAGUUCUCCCUGAGACUUAGAGUCUC
rnacentral:rRNA from 6 species